rnacentral:rRNA from 1 species
GGACUGGAGUCUGCAACCCGACUCCACGAAGUUGGAUUCGCUAGUAAUCGCGCAUCAGCCAUGGCGCGGUGAAUACGUUCCCGGGCCUUGUACACACCGCCCGUCAAGCCAUGGGAGCCGGGGGCGCCUGAAGUCCGGGACCGCGAGGACCGGCCUAGGGCGAAACUGGUGACUGGGGCUAAGUCGUAACAAGGUAUC